AUUGAACGCUGGCGGCAGGCCUAACACAUGCAAGUCGAGCGGAUGAAGGGAGCUUGCUCCUGGAUUCAGCGGCUGAUGGGUGAGUAAUGCCUAGGAAUCUGCCUGGUAGUGGGGGAUAACGUCCGGAAACGGGCGCUAAUACCGCAUACGUCCUGAGGGAGAAAGUGGGGGAUCUUCGGACCUCACGCUAUCAGAUGAGCCUAGGUCGGAUUAGCUAGUUGGUGGGGUAAAGGCCUACCAAGGCGACGAUCCGUAACUGGUCUGAGAGGAUGAUCAGUCACACUGGAACUGAGACACGGUCCAGACUCCUACGGGAGGCAGCAGUGGGGAAUAUUGGACAAUGGGCGAAAGCCUGAUCCAGCCAUGCCGCGUGUGUGAAGAAGGUCUUCGGAUUGUAAAGCACUUUAAGUUGGGAGGAAGGGCAGUAAGUUAAUACCUUGCUGUUUUGACGUUACCAACAGAAUAAGCACCGGCUAACUUCGUG
rnacentral:rRNA from 1 species